GGGGGUACAGCUCAGGGGCAGAGCGCAUGCUUAGCAUGCAGCAGGUCCUGGGUUCAAUCCCCAGUGCCCCCA
rnacentral:tRNA from 1 species